GCAAUCCUAAUUAUUUUGUGUCGAUUGUCUGUCCUGGUUGGUAAAUUGACCUGAAUGCCCCAAAGGCUGAUAAUAGCUCAUUUUUAUUGUGAAUCUGAGGAGAAGACAAUAAUUCUAAUGCCUUUGGAGUAUGUUAAAUAGAAAUUACAUUACAAUAAUAUGAAAUUCAUAUGAUAGAUUGGUCUAGUAUGGAAACAUCCAUCAUGGGUACAACAACGAAUCAUGAAACCAUAGCGACAACAAUAGCAUCACGCAAUGCACCCAUAUCAAUGUCAUCUCCUAAAGCACCACCACCACCAUCUGUGCUAGGUUGGGUUGAAUUACCAUCAUCUUCCUCAAAAUCCUCUUCAACAUCCACGUCAUGUACGGCACUAUCUCUGAUGAAAUUGUGAAGGGCCAUACAAGCAACUAUAAUUUUCGACUGCUUGUUAACCGGAUAACUGGGCAAAUUCAAGAGAAUGCGCCACUUCAUCUUUAGAACUCCAAAUGAUCGCUCAAUCACAUUUCUAAGGGAUGAAUGUGCAUGAUUAAACACUUCUUUCAAUCCUAUCGGAUGCUGACCAUGCUGCCAUUCAGAAACAUGAUACCUCUGUCCCUUGUAGGGUACAAGAAAUCCUUUUCUAUUAGGAUAUCCAGAGUCAACAAGAUAGUACUUGCCUGCAUGUUAUAUU
rnacentral:lncRNA from 1 species